UAAUAAUUAGUUUUUUAAUUGAAAACUGGAAUGAAUGAUUGGACAAAAAAAAUUCUGUCUCUUUAUUAA
rnacentral:tRNA from 1 species